rnacentral:rRNA from 1 species
CCUACGGGAGGCAGCAGUAGGGAAUCUUCGGCAAUGGACGGAAGUCUGACCGAGCAACGCCGCGUGAGUGAAGAAGGUUUUCGGAUCGUAAAGCUCUGUUGUAAGAGAAGAACGAGUGUGAGAGUGGAAAGUUCACACUGUGACGGUAUCUUACCAGAAAGGGACGGCUAACUACGUGCCAGCAGCCGCGGUAAUACGUAGGUCCCGAGCGUUGUCCGGAUUUAUUGGGCGUAAAGCGAGCGCAGGCGGUUAGAUAAGUCUGAAGUUAAAGGCUGGGGCUUAACCAUAGUACGCUUUGGAAACUGUUUAACUUGAGUGCAAGAGGGGAGGGUGGAAUUCCAUGUGUAGCGGUGAAAUGCGUAGAUAUAUGGAGGAACACCGGUGGCGAAAGCGGCUCUCUGGCUUGUAACUGACGCUGAGGCUCGAAAGCGUGGGGAGCAAACAGGAUUAGAUACCCCAGUAGUC